rnacentral:tRNA from 1 species
GGCCCCAUGGUCUAGCGGUUAGGAUACCACUCUUUCAAGGUGGGGGUACGGGUUCGACUCCCGUUGGGGCUACCA